AUUGAACGCUGGCGGCAUGCCUCACACAUGCAAGUCGAACGGCAGCACGGGAGCAAUCCUGGUGGCGAGUGGCGAACGGGUGAGUAAAGUAUCGGAACGUGCCCAGUCGUGGGGGAUAACGUAGCGAAAGUUACGCUAAUACCGCAUACGAUCUAUGGAUGAAAGCGGGGGAUCGCAAGACCCUGCGCGAUUGGAGCGGCCGAUAUCAGAUUAGGUAGUUGGUGGGGUAAAGGCUCACCAAGCCGACGAUCUGUAGCUGGUCUGAGAGGACGACCAGCCACACUGGGACUGAGACACGGCCCAGACUCCUACGGGAGGCAGCAGUGGGGAAUUUUGGACAAUGGGCGCAAGCCUGAUCCAGCCAUGCCGCGUGCAGGAUGAAGGCCUUCGGGUUGUAACUGCUUUUGUACGGAACGAAAAGGUUUGGCUUAAUACGUUGAACUCAUGACGGUACCGUAAGAAUAAGCACCGGCUAACUACGUGCCAGCCGCCGCUGUAA
rnacentral:rRNA from 1 species